AUUGAACGCUGGCGGCAGGCCUAACACAUGCAAGUCGAGCGAGAGGCGGACGGGUGAGUAAUGUAUGGGGAACUGCCUGAUAGAGGGGGAUAAAUACUGGAAACGGUGGCUAAUACCGCAUACGAUCGGAUGAGCUCAUAUGGGAUUAGCGAGUAGGUGGGGUAAAGGCUCACCUAGGCGACGAUCUCUAGCUGGUCUGAGAGGCUGAUCAGCCACACUGGGACUGAGACACGGCCCAGACUCCUACGUGAGGCAGCAGUGGGGAAUCUUGCACAAUGGGCGCAAGCCUGAUGCAGCCAUGCCGCGUGUAUGAAGAAGGCCUUCGGGUUGUAAAGUACUUUCAGCGGGGAGGCGUUACCCGCAGAAGAAGCACCGGCUAACUCCGUGCCAGCAGCCGCGGUAAUUC
rnacentral:rRNA from 1 species